AAAGAGAGAGAGAGAGACAGGUAAAGGAACAGGUGUAGCAGCAGAAUCGUUUCUUCAGGACACUGACAUAGAGCCGUCAUGCGCAUGCACAUGCAAUUCAGGCCAGUAAGAGUGGUCACGCUCGGCAGUGAUUCUAAGACUCUCCUUUCUGAGUCAUCCAGGUAACAGAGUUUUCAGUGGAAAUCGUGUAUUUUUUUUCGUUAUGCAAAUCUUUGUGAAAACCAAAGGGAUUUCCUCCAAUACUAACACAGAUAUAGAACAACUUAGAGGCCACUGUGAAACACACUGCACAGAUCUGUGACGGUUGAGUCCACUGGUUGUAGAGAGUUAACUGUACUUAGGUGUACCCACUCCAGGAUCUAAUAAGAUGUAUUAAGUCUCAACAUUGGUUUUCAGUCUUUCCCUGUCUCUGCCAGGGCGUUAUCAAUAACUUCUCAGUGCCUUCAGUGGUGGCUUUCCCCAAUCAUUUUUCAUUUUGCUUCGAAUGCAGACCAUCAAAAUUCAAGGCGCUUAGAGUGUUUUUUUGCAGCGGUUAUGAGCAGGCUUGAUGGAUGUGAGCUUCUUGCUAAGCUGUGUGAAUGAGAACUCCUGUUUGGAGCCACCCACGUGAUUCAGUGUUAUUGGGCUUGGGAAGCUCAAUGUUACCAAGUCACAUUAUUUAUUCCUUGAAAUACGUGUAUGUCACAAAUAUGUUAAUGAGCUUCCUCUGUGUGUGCUCUAUAUACAGCUACCCUGGGGAUGGGUUUUUAGAACUCUCUAAUUCAACACAUAACCUAAAUGGAAAUAUUUUUGACCAAUAUUUCCAGCUGAAUUUUUUUUCAGAAGACCCUUUAUAGAAUUGUAGUCAUUUUUCUGACCUAGAAGCACUAAGCUGGUCAGAUUGGAUACCCAUUUUCUGGGACAAUGUAUGACCAUUGGAAAAGUUGAACAAAACAAUCAUGGAGUGUCUCAAAGCCAUACCCUGUUUCCUGGUGGUUAGAGUUGAUAAUAUCAUUGUGAAGGCCUAAGUUUGUUUCUCAGUUAAGUAACCCAAACAAAAAUCACAAGCUACAUGAUAAAAUUCAAAGCCAAGAGAAAAAUUGAAGCAGAAAGCUAUUGCUGAUUUAAUGGUAAGACUACUGACCACUCUAACAUGAAGUCACAGAGAGUCCUAUACCUGAAAGCUAAGAAACAACAGUGGGUUCCAAUUGAAUGUCCUAUACUAGUUUUACUAUUUAGCAGUGACUAGAUCUGUGCACUGUUCACUAAGCGCUACUAUGUGAGACGCAUUGUGCCAGGUGGCUUUAAGAAGCCUAGAGGCUAUGCUUGAGUGGCAGGAAGUGGUUUUUACUAUGGCACUACAUUUUCAAUAUGGGACAAUGGGAUGAAAUUCUAGAAUUCAUCGCCUGGGAGUCCACCCCAACAAGCUUGGAAAAAAAAAAAAAGGGAUGCUGUGGUUACAGUAAGGGCAACGGUGAUUUCAAGAACUACAUAGCAACACUUGCUUGCAAAUGGUAGGGAAAUGCAGAGCUCUGCUGCCUGAAAGGGACUGGAAAUGUAAAGGAAUUGAGUGAGUGCCAGAGGGAAAGUUCAGUGGUGUGAAUGGAGAAGGGAACAGAAACUGAAUACUUGGAUGGACGAGCAGAUUCUCAUUGAUCUCUUCAACCAUGAGCCAGGGUGGCUGGUGAGUGACGAGUGGUAGUGGGAGAGGCAGAGGGGAGAACUAUGGAGACAUUUUUACUAGCUGUCAGGCCUGGUAUACGGUUUUUGUUUACCAUACCUCAGAAUUUAGCAUGCUCUUGGCUCAUAGUAAGUUUGGCUCCCCCCAGCCCCCAAUGAAUAAAAUUAGUUAAACCUCUUCACUUUUGUUGAACUUGCCAAGGAUGUCCCUAGGGCCGUACACAGAAAACACCAUUGCGUAGCCCGUGUGGUGGGUGGAUGACAGAGGGAGAAAGGGAAGGAUAAGACACCAUUGUGUUCUUUCAGAAUGACUAGGGUAUCUUUGGGAUAUGUUCACUUUCCAAUGAAAGGAGUCCAUAUAUGUAUAGUAUGUGCAGUUCAAAAAGUCCCAAGAGCCUUGACCCACUUACUCUUUUGGAAGAGGUGAACAUUAUUUCUAAAACAAUAAGAAAAGUAAACCAUAUUGUAAAAAAACAGUGCUUGAAAGAAAAAAAAAACAAGACAGAUCCUAAGCUAUUGAGUGAUUUUUUUUUUUUUAAUAACCCAAGCUAAGAUGUUUGCCAACUUCAACACUAAGAAGGUAUUUAAGGAGUUCUGCUCAAAUUUAUUUCGUUGGUCCAGUCCCUAACCAUUCCGAUUGCCAAAGACAUUCACCUCACAAGACAGUUUGUUUGGGGGCAAACUUACUUGUUUUGUACCAAAUUUUCCUCAGUUGCUUUGUUAAGCGAUGGGCUUCAUUAAGUAAUCCAUUACAUUGAAAUGAAGCAUCUUGUAUCGUUUAAACAUUUAUUGAAACACUGUGUUGUGUGUGGGCGGUUUAUGGUUAUGCUAGAAGAGCCAUGUUUCUGCUUUCAAAUCAAAGGGAAGGAUGUAAGACUUGGAGCUGUGGCUGCAGGGAUGGCCCAUUUACAGGAUUUUGGACAAUGACAGUUUUUGUAAGAAGAUCCCAUGCUCCUGCUGGCUGGGUGGCAUUUUGGGGGGGGGGCAGAAGCUGGCUUUACUGAUAAGGUUGAGAAGUGACCAUUUGUUUCCUUCUCUCACACGAUUGUCUUAAGAAUAGAAGUCUAAUUCCAUCUGUUCGUCUUUCUGUUCUCUGGCCUUGAGUGUUCAUGAUGUGAGGCCAGUCAUAAUGAGUUUGGGGAGGUUCCACCAGGAAAGAGUGCAUUGUUCAUCAGCUUUGGGGUGGUGUGUGUGUAUAUGUGUGUAACUAUGUGUGUGUGAGAGUGUGUGUGUGUAUGUGUGUAUAGUCAGGACAGAAGUUGGUGUUGGAGUUUUCCUUGAUCACUUUCACUCCUUGAGUUAGCUAGACUGGCUGGCCAGUAAGCCCCAGGGAUCCUCCUGUCCCCUCUUUCCCAACACUGUAUAGGUUUACACCACCCACCAUGCUUGGUUUUUCUUUUUCUAAGUGUGGGCGCUGGGUAUCCAGUAAGCACUUUACUGAGCCUUCUCCCCAGCCCCCAUCUGAACCACCCUGGAGUGAGCGCUCCUCUUACACUUUUUCUUAUAGCACAGCUUGGCACUUGAUGGGGACAGGGUGAAGAUUUGGAGAUCAUGACUGACUGCGUGCGUGAGUCUAACAGACGGGAGUAUGCCUCUGAAGGAAAUGGCAAGGCAACGACAGGCCAGAAGCUCACACCCUCCUCUGAAUGUUCAUGCUAGACAGCAAUUGCAGGAUGCAGUGUUUUAGGUGCAGGAUACAUCUGGACCAAACAGAAAGGCUUGAGCAUUGAGAUGCCAUGAGAAUGGCCUGGGUGGAUAUCUUUCAGGAGUCCAGCUUCUCCUCCCACUCUGAGAGUCCUAGGGAUUAAAUCUCGGUUGUCAGGAUUGGUGGUAAGCACUUUUACCCUUUGGGCUACACCUCAGUGCCCCCCACCCCAAUUUUUAUAAAGUAUACUACUUUAAUAGAUGAGGGAAUGAAAAUAUUAAAUGGUAGAUAAUUUUCAUUAAAUCUUGAAGACUCCAUCAUAGAUCUCUGAGUAUGCCUGAACACCUAUUUCCCAUGUCUUUUUCUGUUCCUUCGAUGAGCCUGAGGACCAUUGGAACCAUUCAGAAAGUAAUGUCGACAUCAACCCUUUGAAGGCGGGAUAAUAGACAUUGAAAGUCUCACAGCAGUGCUAUGUACAGAGAGAUGCCAAGGCGUGGGGCUCGCUGCGUCUUUUCUCAGCUGGAGAGAACACAGGAUAACCUUCUAUAGAUCUACAUACACUUUGUUCCAGAUAACCAAGUUGUUGUUUUUAAAACAUUUAAUACAAUUAUACAGUUCACCACUACUGUAAACAACACGCAAAAAAAUAUAUAUGAUGGGACCUGUCCUCAGUGAGCCCAGCCGUCACUAUGAAAACACUGUUCCCAUGGUAAUGCACUUUCAGGUUUUUCCAGCCCCACAUUAUUGGAAAUGUUUUCACUGAAAACUUUCCCUGCUUCCAAUCAAUUGCCUUUAAGUUGCUCAGGCUCUAAAGUUAUGAGACCACGCCAUGCAAAAGCCCACAGUCCAGAAAGCCUCAGAGGGUGGUCUCCGUGUCAGUCAGCAAAUGUGACCUGUACCCGUGAAUAUUUAGUGUGUGGCAUGGAGCUGUAGAAGGUAUGACGUGGAGAAGCAGAGACCCACAUGUGAGCUCUAAGCAGGCAGGGCAUAAAGAAAAUUACAAGCCCGAGUCCAAGGGUUUGCUACAGGGGCUCAGGGCUCAGGGCACAGAGGACAGGGCGCAGGGCCUCUCUAUGGAUGGGAACUUUAGAAAACGAUCUCAGGACUCGGCUGAGGUUUAAACACGGUGACGGCAGGGGCAUGGCUAUCAUUGUCCCUCUAGGACUCUGCAGGAGCUUAGUGAGCAGUGUGGCCUUUUCAGAAGAGUCCCCAGACAGAGCCUGAGGUGGCUGGGCGUCAGCGUGGUGGGAAUGAAAGCGACCCUUCCAGUUCCUAUAACUGAGUUCUUCAUGUCGAUCCCUUCUUUGUGGACAAGAAGAACCACGGAGACCCAGCACUGCUUCAGUUAAGGAGGCGUCUUCCCUACAGCUCAAGGUGUUCCCGGAUUUGAACUGCGGUUGUGGUCAAAACACCUAGCAGCAGGAUGGCCUUGGGGCUGCAUGGAGCAUCCCCCAACACAGGAGGGAAAGUCCAGCCUAAUGUGACUGGGGUAGCACAGUGCAUCCUCACUGACAGCCUGGGCCAAGCCGUGGGUUUAGCCACUUUCCUUCCAUUCUUCUUAGACUUUUUAGUCACUUUACCUGAAUAGUCUGAUUUUUAUUCUCCAUGUAAUCAUCUAAGUAACAUCAUAAUAAAAAAUGACAGAACUGUGUGAUUAAAUAAAACCGCUAAUUAAAAUCCUUCA
rnacentral:sRNA from 1 species